rnacentral:rRNA from 1 species
GGAAUAUUCGUCAAUGGCCGAGAGGCUGAACCAGCCAAGUAGCGUGCAGGAUGACUGCCCUAUGGGUUGUAAACUGCUUUUAUGCGGGGAUAAAGUUCAGCACGUGUGCUGUUUUGUAGGUACCGCAUGAAUAAGGACCGGCUAAUUCCGUGCCAGCAGCCGCGGUAAUACGGAAGGUCCGGGCGUUAUCCGGAUUUAUUGGGUUUAAAGGGAGCGCAGGCCGAUGGUUAAGCGUGACGUGAAAUGUAGCCGCUCAACGGCUGAACUGCGUCGCGAACUGGUUAUCUUGAGUGAGUUCGAUGUUGGCGGAAUUCGUGGUGUAGCGGUGAAAUGCUUAGAUAUCACGAAGAACCCCGAUUGCGAAGGCAGCUGACGAGUCCUUUACUGACGCUAAAGCUCGAAGGUGCGGGUAUCGAACA